UUGGGAGGAACUUAGUUUAUCAUUUAAAACAAAGACGAUAACAGCCUUUUCCCAAAACAAACUCCCUUCUUGCCUGGGAACUAGACUGCAUUUGUAGGUGAUAUGGUUAGGCUUUGUGUCGCCACCCAAAACUCAUCUUGAAUUAUAAUCCCCAUCAUCCCCACGUGUCAAAGGAGAGACCAGGUGGAGGUGACUGAAUCACGCGGGCAGUUUCCCCAUGCUGUUCUCGUGAUAGUGAGUGAGUUCCCGUGAGAUCUGAUGGUUUUUUAAGGGUUGGGCAGUUCCGCCUGCGUUCAUUCUCCUUCCUGUCACCUCGUGAAGAAAGUGCCUUGCUUCUUCACCUUCCACCAGGAUUGUAAGUUUCCUGAGGCUUCCCCAGCUACGCCGAACUACCCAGGCGUACAGAUGGGCCAGGCUGGGGGCCCCCGAGCACCUGCUUAGAACAAGAUGAAGUUGCAAAUGGUUACCUGGGAUGGCGACCAAGUUCUGCAGCUCCUGCUUCAAGUCCAUGAUGUCCUUGCAGAGCUGGAUGUCAUCCAUCCUGGGGAAACAGGACACCACCAACAGCAGGUUACAUCAGCAGAGCAUUACACCCUGAGCAUCUCCCGGUUAAUACAAAGAAGCUGUUAAAGAGACAGGGACCUCGCUAUGUUGCCCGGCUGGUCUUGGAUUCCUGGCGUCAAGCAAUCCUCCCACCUCAGCCUCUCAAAGUGCUGGGAUAUAGGUAUGAGCCACUGCACUCAGCCUCCUCCAGAUUUUAAAAAAAUGCAUAUGCUUAUAAUAUCAUAUAUGACACCAUUGUUAUUGUACACAAAUUUUUUGCAAUUUGCUUUUUUCCAUUUAAUAAUCUUUAAUAGUCUUGAUCAUCUUUCCAUACCGGUAUAUGCAAAUCUCCACAUUUUUAGUGGCUGCGUAAUAUACCAUUAUACUGAUAUACAGUCAUCUAUUUUAUUUUUAUUUUUUAAAUUUAUUUUUAUUUUUAUUUUUUUUAGACAGAGUCUCACUGUAUCACCCAGGCUGGAGUGCAGUGGUAUGAUCUUGGCUCACCGCAACCUCCGCCUCCCAGGUUCAAGUGAUUCUCUGGCUUCAGCCUCCAGAGUAGCUAGUAGCUAGGAUUACAGGCGGGAGCCACUGCACUCAUCUGAUAAUACAGUGAUCUAUUUAACUAUAAUUUAUUUAACUAUUCCCCUAUUCAUAGACAUCUUGGUUGUUUCCUAAUACAUUUCUAGGAUGGAUUCCUAGACAUGCAAUUGCUGGGUCUAGUGACAUGAACACUUACAUUGUAGUAGGAAUUUCCAGAUUGCCCUCCAGAGAGAUCGUGCGUGACAUUACCAACAGUGUGGCCGUGGGGGACAGUGGGUGGUGGCUCCUGUCAUCUCAGUAACUGGGUUGCUUUUGCAACCCAGUUUUGCAUUACACAUUAUAAUUUUGCAUUACACAUUAUGGUUUUGUGUGUGUGCUACAAAAAUUAACUCAUCUUGCUGUAAACAGUAUUUUAAUGGCUGUCUGCAAUUUCACAAAUGAGAUGCAUCAGGAUUGUGCUAAUUAUGCUCUCAUCUUGAUUACUAAGUCUGGCUUUUCAGGUUUGAGCAAUUUUGGCCACUGCAGGAUGAACAUCACUUCCUCUAAGGCUUUUUCUCCAUGCUGGAUUAUUUGGGGUUUAGAUUGUCAGAAGUGGAACCACUGCAUACAAAGGGCUUGAUAUUUCCAUAGCUGUUGAGAUGUAUCUUCACAUCGCUUCCCCGUGAUAUAUAGGUUCACAUUCACUCUGCUUGUCUUUGUCUUUGUUGUUCUUGUUUUGUUUUUUGAGACAGGGUCCUACUGUAUCACCCAAGGCACAAUCAUAGUUCAUUGCAGCCCUGAACUCCUGUGCUCAAAUGAUCUUCCCACCUCAGCCUCCGAAGUAGCUGGCACUACAGCUGUACAGCCACCAUGCCCAGCUCAUUCUUUUAAUUUUUAAACUUUUCAUAGAGAUGGGGUCUUGCCGUUUACCAGGUUGGUCUUGAACUCCUGGCCUCAAGUGAUCCUCCCGUCUUGGCCUUCCAAAGUGCUGGGAUUACAGGUGUGAGCCACUGCACCUGGCCUGCACGUCUUUAUUGAACAUCUACUAUGUUGGGCAUUGUUGUCAUCUCUGGCGCUUGCAGCAGCAAAGAAGACCAAGCCCUCACAAAGAUGACAUUUUGCUAGCAGAGACAGAAGGUAAACACAAAUACGAUAUUUCAGAUGUUACGAAGAAGACUGAAGCAGCUAAGGGAUGUAGUGGGUCAGCUUGGAGCCAAUAUCUUACUUUGCUCCUGACAACUAUCCUAGGAAAAGCCAGAGGACAGAAAUCAUAUUUUCAUUUUACUCGUGCGGAAACAGGUAAAGAGGCUCAACUGAGUACACACAGCUCAUGGGGGCAGGACAAUAACUAGAAAUCGACCCUUCGGAGUCUGGUCCACUGAUCUUUCUGCCUCAUUCCUCAGCGUCUCCAUCAAGGGCUGGGGCUGCUGACUUCUUUCAGCAGUGCCAUCUGUAGACCGGCAUGGGGCCCUGUCUUAGUCUGUUGAGUGUUGCUAUCAAGGAAUGCCUGUGGCUGAGUACUUUUUUUUUUUUGCAUAAAGGAAUAUAAAACUAUUAACCACUGUUCACCGGUAUUUACAAUAAAGUAAACAAUAUACAAUUGGAUAACAUUCUUACUACAAAGUUUUUCUUCCUGGCUUUUGCUAAAUCAGUAAAGCAAACCGAAGAUUGAGCCUACAUGUGAGGAAUGAGUUGGGGUAAAGAAAAAACAUGUAGGUCAAUAGGUUAGAUUACAAAAGGUUGUUCACACAUUUAUGGCAGCAAGUCCUAAACUGCCAACAUCUCUAACCAUCUGAUUAGGUUUCUAUGAGCCAAGUCUUACAUAUUCCAUUCAUCAUGACCUUUUAGUCAAUGUACCAACAGGGAUUUCAACAUUUUGUUAAGGAAUGGCCCACUAGGGAAAUUUUUAAA